AGUCGCAGUAGAGUAGAACCCGAGAGCAGAACAGCACAGUCUCAGCCAACUCCAGAUGCCAGCCUGGCCUCUAAACACCAGCACAGCCUCAAGCUUCUGAAACAGCUUCCUGGAAGCAGAGGACUCCUCUCUUCCACACAGAACCGUCCGCUAUUAGUCUAACUGUACCUUCCAGGCUUGGGCUCUUCUCCUGUCUCACUGCUCUGCAACUUCCCAUUGCCUCCAUCCCAAAGGGGUACCAACCUUUCGCAUCUUGCUCCUCAGACCAAGUUUGCAGUGCUGAGGCUUCCAAGAGCCCCUCCUGCUCAGGCCCCAGCCCUCUAUAAAUCCUCUUAUAGAGGCCUGAGUGUGGGAGGGGAUGGAGGGAGGAGAGGGAAACUUGGAACCUAUUCAGCCCCAAACAAUGCAAGGUCUGGGUGAUGAAAUGAGGUCUCCAGAACUGACCUGCACUUUUGGAGCUACGAGGUUAUAAAGGAGUGAGGUCCACCUGGUAAUGGGAUAAACAGGCUCCAGGAUGGUCCUCGAAGGCAUAGGACAGCCUGGUUAUUGGUGCUUCUCCUUCUUCCCUGGCUAUCAGGGGCUUCAGUCCUGCAUGUGGACAAGUCCCUUGGGCCUUACUCCUAUGCUGGAUGGUCAUACUUAACCUUAACAGGUCCUGCACGUCUGUCAAAUCUUAAAAGAUCAGAUCACUAAA